rnacentral:lncRNA from 1 species
GCAGAAUUCCCUUUGCUGGAUAAGGGGCCAGUGAUUAAUCAGACAAUUGCUACUGUCAGGUGUAGUUAAUGGCUUGGAUUUGGGGUUACAGCCAGUUUGGAGGUUGGAAGAAGUUCGGUUGGGAUUUAGAAGAAAGGACAAUUAAUUCAGAUCCAAACCAUGCAGAACACAGUGAGCCAAGGGCCACUCCCGGUUCCCAGGGUGAUGACAUCCCACAGGGAGGCGCAUCGCUGGGCAUGCAAAGCCAACUUCAACACCCCAGCCCCAGCCCCUCAGCUCCUCCUGCCCACCUCUACUAAACAAAGCAGACACUCAGAAGCAAACUCUAUAUGGCUACACGAGAUCAGACCCCGCUCUCUCUUGAACCCGG